rnacentral:misc_RNA from 1 species
AUUCCACCUAUGGUACAAAACCGUGAGACUCAACAUGAGGUAGGCCAAAGUGGACAAUUCCUCUAAUAGUUGGAGCAAGGACGUUAUAGAUGGUAUCAGAGCCGAACCCCCUCUAGUAGAUGUGUAGUUCGAUGACAAAUCAAGCGGAAGCUGGUGGGCCUGUUAUGACCCGACCCGGAAAAGCUGUCUAAUGAGGGCGGAGAGUGGCAUAAGAGAAUUAACUCCUGGCAGGCUUCUAGGAUGGCGAGGCUACCUAGGGUAAUGGAAUGCGG